GGGCUAGCCACGUAACAAAAAAUCUUCUUAGAUUAUGAAUUUACAUUCUGCCUUAAAUGCUGGAAUACUGGGGAUUUCAUGGUAAGAUCAUCAGAAAAGAGAUGAAAAGGCAACUGCUGGUUUUUCUUGCCGCGUCUGACACGGCCACACACGAGUCCCGCCAGUUCUUCUUUGGGGCUGCAGGUGCAUACCAAACUGGGUAGGGGGCGUGUGUAGAAGAAGUGUGUUCUCUGGAGCACCACCUCCGGAAUUCCUGAAAAACACCCUCAUGGGUGCACCAGCACUCCACCUACACCCGGAACCCCUCUGCUGUCGGGGUGUGGAAGUUGGAUUUGAAUAUUUGGUACUGGCUGAGAAUUCCAAGUUGUCUAGUAAAGUUUGACAUUAAAUAGAUCUUCUGACCUGUUAUAUACAGCCUCAAAAGCUUCCAAGUGAUCUGCAUCAACCAGAGAUAAUUGUCUGAAACAAAACAAAAUAAUGAAGAGGUAUAUUCAGGCUAUUAUAAUUUGCAGAGAGCAAUCACAAGGCCUUUUCUUGAAAAGAGGUGCAGUAAAUUGAUCUAUAUAAAAACAGCAAAGCCCCAGGAGCACAAAGAGAACUAGAUUUCAGGAAUGGCAUGAAGAGUUCUGUUUAUCAAACAUUUCUUGUGUCCCUACAGUGUGUCUAAUACUCUAUGAAGUGGAAUAUAUAUAAAAGUUACCACACCAUCUCCUUUCAAAAGGGGGCAAGAGUCUACAAUAAAAUUCCUUUGUUUGAUUUCCUCUGUUCCUGA